rnacentral:lncRNA from 9 species
CAAGAGGUAGCCUUUAAAGGGUCAAAAAUUCUUUAUUUAUUUACUUUUUAUUUUGAAAUAAUUUUAUACUUUCAAAAAAAAUGUGAAAAUACCACAGAGAAAUCUUUUCAGCAGAUGGCAUUCGAACAACUGGAUAUCUAGAUGCAAGAGAAUUAAACUGAACCCCUACUUCACACCAUAUACAAGAAUUAACUCAAAUCAUUGAUCUAGUACAGCAGAAAUUGGCACAACAUUGUAAAUAACUCUAAAAAAAAGGGAAAAAUAAAAUAAAUAAUUGACUUAAAUACAAGAACUAAGACUACAAAACACUUAGAAGAAAACAUAGAAGUAAAUCUACACGCCUUAUAUUUGGCAAUGGUUUCUUAAAUAUGACAUCAAAAGCUCAAAUAAAAAAUUGAUAAAUUGGACAGCAUCAAAAUUAUAAAUUUUUGUGCUUCAAAGGACACCAUAAAGAAAAUGAAAAAAACAACUCACAGAAUGAAAAGAAAUAUUUGCAAGUCAUACAUCAGAUAAAAAAAACUUUUGCUUUGAAUAUACAAAUGAUCCUUAUGAUCAAAAAUAAAAAUAUAAGUAAUCCAAUUUUAAAAUGGGCAAAGGACUUUAAAUAGGCAUAACUCCAGAAAGAUAUGCAAAUGGCCAAUAAGGAUAGGAAAAAAUGGUCAACAUCAUUAGUCUAAAAUUAGGGAAAUGCAAGUCAAACCCACAAUGAGAUACCACUUCAUACCCACUAGGAUGGCUAAAAUUUAAAAGAUAGAAGAUAACAAGUGUUUGAAGGAUAUGUAGAAAUUGAAACUUCCAUAUUGCUGAGGGAAAUAUAAAAUGGUGAAGCCAUUUUGGAAGAUUCUGGAAAUUCUUCAAAGUAUUGAACAAAGAGUUACCACAUGAACUUGCAAUUCUACUUCUAGGUAUAUACCUAAGAAAUCUAAUAUACAGCACAAAUGAACCUUUCUACAGAAAAAAAUCAUGGACUUAGAGAAUAGACUUGCGGUUGCCAGGGGGAGCAGGAGGAAGUGGGAGGCAUUGGGAACUUGGGGUUAAGGGAUGCAAACUAUUGCUUUUUGGAAUGGAUUAACAAUGAGAGCCUGCUGUGUAGCACUGAGCACUAUGUCUAGAUACUUACAGUGAAGCACGACAAUGGGAGAAAAAAUUAUGUAUAAUGUAUGUGCACAGUGGAAAAAAAAGUGUGUUGGGGAAGUAAUAAUUAAAAAAAGAAAGAAAAACUUAUCUCCACACAAAAACAUUCAUAAAAAGUUCACAGUAGCAUUAUUCAUCGUAGCUUAAAAAAAAAGGAACCAGUCCAGUGCCUAUCAAUAAUGAAUGGAGAAAGAAAUGUGGUAUCUAAUAGAAAAAAAUUAAAGCCCCUAUACCUAUCAAAUAAAAAAUUAAUAGUACAAAGAAUUCGUAUAUACUCUUGAUUCAGCCUCCUCUAAUAUUCACAGCUUAUAUAACUUCAGUACAGUGACCCAAACCAGGAAAUUAACAUUGCUGUAGUACUAGUAACUAAACAACAGAGCUCACUCAAAUUUCAUCAGUUUUGCCACCUUUGUCCUUUUUCUGUUCCAGUAUCCAGUCCAGUCAGGGAGAAGUGUGUCUGGAACCAGGGACACCCUGGGAUAUCUUGUCAAUCUCUUAAAAUAUUUUUUAACUCAGAGGUUAAGAAUUAUAAGAUUCUUUGAGGUAGUUAAAUAGGGGGGAUGAUGAGAAAAGCCCUUAAGAUAGAGAAGCAGGUGUUAAAUGAAAUGACAGAGAGAGAAAGACUAAUAUUGCAUGAUCUAUUUUGUAUAUUUGAAAUUUGCUAAGAGAGUUGGCGUCAAUUAAAAGUUCUUAUCACAAGAAAAAAAUUAUUACUAUGUUGUUAUAGAUAUUAACUAAACUUAUUGCAAGUAAUUAUUUUGCAACAUAUGUAUGGAAACAUGUAUCAACUCAUAAUAUCAGUGCAACUAAGACUAAUACAAUGUUAUAUAUCAAGAAGAAAAUCAGUUUUUGCCUAUGACUUGGGGUCAGGGGCAGGAAGGGAUAAUAGGUGGAACACAGGGGACUUUUAGUAAAGUGAAACUAUUCUGUAGGAUAUAAUAAGGGUGGGUACGUGUCAUUUUACAUUUGUCAAAAAACCAUAGAAGGUGCAACACAAAUAAUAAACCACAAUAUAAACUAUGACUUUGGUUGAUAGCAUUGUAUCACUGAUGGCUCAUUAGUUGUAACAUAUGUACUAUGCUGGAGAGAGAUAUUGAUGGUGGAGAGGCUUUGAGGGAGGAGAGAGGACAUGUAGGAACUCUCUGUACUUUCUGCUCAAUUUUGCUAUGAAACUAAAUCUGCUCUAACAGUUAAAAAUUAAUUUUGAAAAUGCACUAGAUUAGGACUUCCCAUCAUGUCUCAGUGGGUUAAGGACCCAACCUUGUCUCCGGAGGAUGUAAGUUCAAUCCCUGGCCUCGCUCCAUGAGUUAAGGAUCUGCUAUUGCUGCAAGUGAGAGCAUAGGUCAUAGAUGCAGCUCAGAUCUGGUGUUGCCAUGGCUGUGGCAUAGGCCUGCAGCUCCAUUUGACCCUUAGCCCAGAACUUCCAUACGCAUCAGGUGCAGCUAUUAAAAAAAAAAAAUGCACUAGAUGAAAGUAACAGCAGAUUAGAAAUUGCAAAAUAAACAAUUAGGAAAUUGAAAGACAUAGAAUCCUAAAGGAAACAUAGAUAGGAAAAAAAGACUAAAGAAUGUAUAAGCAGAACUUUUGUGAACUGAUGAUCAAAACUGUAAACCAACUUGACUUUAUAUCUAUAAUUUGAUAUUUGAACUUCAAUUUCAAUUUUUUGAAAGACAAUGCCCAAAAUUCAGAAGUAAUAGAUGAUUUGAAUAGGCUUAUAUUUAUUAAAGAGAUUAAAUCAAUACUUAAUAACCUUCCAAAUCAGAAAGUACCAGGGCCUGCUGGGUUCACUGAUGAUUCUAUCAUACCUUUAAGGGAGAAAUUAUACCAAUCCUCUGCAAUCUCAGAGGGUAGAAACAGAAGGAAUACAUCCUAACUCAUUCUAUAAGGCCAGCAUUACCCCAAUACCAAAACAAAACAAAGCAGCAUAAGGAAAAAGAAUGACAGACAAUGUCUCUGCAAAAAUCAACAAAAUAUUAACAAACCAAAUCUAAAUAAGUGCAAUGAGAUUUAUGCACCAAGAACAGGAGGGAUUUAUCCCAGGUAUGCAAUGCUGGUUCAACACUGGAAAAUCAGCUAAUGCUACUCAUUACAUCCACAGAUUAAAAGGAGAAAAUCACAUGAUCAUAUCAGUAGAUGCAAAAAAAAAAGUUUGAAAAAUAAAUACAGGAGUGAAUAAAUAAACAACAAGAUAGAGGAGCAGAAGAGAAAUGCCCUGAAAGUGGAAUAGAGGAUGCAGACAUUAUAAGUAAGCAUCUCAGUCCACACACUUGGACACACAUACCAUUUCUUAAUUCUCUUUAAUACAAUUUAAGACUAAAUCGGGUUCAUAGUAAUCCUGUCUCCAGAGGUAACUCUCUGGUUUUUAAUAGGCCACAUUCAUUCAAUCCCCUUGUCUCAUUCCAUGUGGUCCUCAUGUCUGCCACUCUGAUGCAUUGUGUCCAUCAGCCUUGGGUCUGAGAAUUUUAGAUAAGCCGGGGGUCCUUGUGUCUAGGAAGUAACUUCUGAAGUGUAACAGGGCAAGACUCUGAAAAUGACACUUUUCUUGGAUGCUUUCCAAGAAUAAAGAACAAGUCCCUAAUUCUUGCAGCAAGCACAGAGGGAAAUAUUAAUUUCCAUGCAUAGCCUACAGUCAUUUCUAUCUUAAUUUCUUCAGUGAGUUUAGGUUUUACAAAAGAUAAGCUUUCUUACCCCUGCAAAAAUGCCCAAAGCAAAGAAUAUGCAAAGGUUUUGUUUUCUUACUGGGAGAAGCUAAAUGAAGCAAAGGAAAUAAAAAUCAUAGUAAUAAAUAUGCAAUUUCUCCUAUUCCAGAGAAAAUAGACAAUUCCAAUAGAAGGAAAUGCUCAUUGGAGAAUUAUCAAACAUUAUGGAAGAGAUGUCUUUAACAUGGACUUGGGGAGGUCAGGGGAAUUUCAUGGAAGAACGAAUGACCAAGCUGAAUGCUGAGAGAUGUAAAAGAGAUAGCUCAGGAAAGAGGAGUGGGGAGGGAAGCUAGUGUGUAUGGUCUCUGAGGAAAGCAAAAAGUCAUGUUCAAAGCAUUGAAGUAAAUUCGGUGCAUCUGCAGAUGACACAGAAUGAGAUAAAGAAACUAUUGAGAGUUACACAUCCCGUAAAUUGAUGUAGAAGCUUAUAUAAGCCAUAGCAACGGGUCUGGUUUCUGCUUUGUGAGCAACAGGAAGUCAUUAAAAGGUUUUAAGCCUAAGGAAGACAAAAUCAGAAUUUCACUUUAUUAUUCUAGUUUAAAGUAGACAAUUGGGGUGAAGAGUUACCCUGUGACUAGUGAACAAUACAAGAAGUGAUGGGACUCUUGCAAUAAUCCUCCAGAGAAAUGAUAAUAGUGCAACUUUGAGAAGUGGCUGGGGAAACAGAAAAAGUGGGCAUAUUUCAAAGAUAUGACGUUAUACAAUCUACCAGAUGUGACAAUAUUGCAUUUCAUGGAAUCUACAACUCCAUUGAUUUGAAGUAUAUCAUUUUAUAGAGCCUAGGAAGGAAAAAUCUGCCAGUUAAUAAAACAGAAUAUGCCAUUUAUUGUAAGAAGCACAAUUUCAGAGAUGUAAGGUAGGAGUAGAAAUGUACAUGGUGGAAUCGAUGAAAUAGUAGAUUGGAUGUUGGAAGACGGAAAGGAGGCAAGGUGUUACUGGGGAGUUGAAUGCAAAAUGAAUGAGUGGGCAGCCAAGAGAGAAAUGUGAAGAUUACCUAAUAAUGCUAAAUGGUUAAAUAAAGUAGAAACUUAUUUGUUUCAACUGGGUAAUUGGGGAGUGUAGCUUUUAUUGCUUUGCCAGGCAAAGGAGGCCACAGCAGGCUAAUGCCUUAAAUACUGUGCCCCACUUUGCGAGAAUUCCAGGGAGUUUUAUAUGCUAAAAGGAGUAAAACAGGGUUUCAGAUAAGAAUCAGGGUUGGGAGAGUUCCGUUGUGGUUCAAUGGCAACAAAUCUGUCUAGUAUCUAUGAGGAGGUGGGUUCAAUCGCUAACUUCACUCAUGGGUUAAGUAUCCGGCUGUGAUGAAGGUCACAGACGUGGCUCAGAUCCUGCAUUGCUGUGGCUAUGGUGUAGGCUGGCAGCUGCAACUUCCAUGUGACUCCUAGCCUGGGAACUUUGGCACUAAAAGCAAAAAAAACAAACAAGGAAACAAAAUGAAUCAGGGUCGGGGUAGAAAUGCAUUUUUAUUUCUUUUGGAGAAUCUUAGUCAUGGAAGCUGGCACCAGGAGAUCUUGGCGUGAUCCUGGGAGUGGUCUUCUGAAUGAUUGCCUAGAAUUACAGUACCGGUGUCUGGACCUACUAAGGCUCAGGUUCUUUGUGUCUAAGGACAGAAGGAAUUCAGCAAGAGGCUAAGUGAAAGUCAAAAAUUAGUUUUAUUAAGAUAGGAUGCAGGGAGUUCCUGUCGUGGCUCAGUGGUUAACGAAUCCGACUAGGAAUCAUGAGGUUGUAGGUUCGGUCCCUGGCCUUGCUCAUGGGUUAAGGAUCCAACAUUGCCAUGAGCUGUGGCGCAGGUCACAGACCUGACUUGGAUCCAGUGUUGCUGUGGUGGUGGCAUAGGCUAGUGGCUACGGCUCCAAUUGGACCCCUGGCCUGGGAACCUCCAUGUGCCUCGGGUGCAGCCCUAGAAAA